UUCGAAUAGCCCCUUUACAAA
rnacentral:piRNA from 1 species